AGGCGACGAUCCCUAGCUGGUCUGAGAGGAUGACCAGCCACACUGGAACUGAGACACGGUCCAGACUCCUACGGGAGGCAGCAGUGGGGAAUAUUGCACAAUGGGCGCAAGCCUGAUGCAGCCAUGCCGCGUGUAUGAAGAAGGCCUUCGGGUUGUAAAGUACUUUCAGCGGGGAGGAAGGGAGUAAAGUUAAUACCUUUGCUCAUUGACGUUACCCGCAGAAGAAGCACCGGCUAACUCCGUGCCAGCAGCCGCGGUAAUACGGAGGGUGCAAGUGUUAAUCGGAAUUACUGGGCGUAAAGCGCACGCAGGCGGUUUGUUAAGUCAGAUGUGAAAUCCCCGGGCUCAACCUGGGAACUGCAUCUGAUACUGGCAAGCUUGAGUCUCGUAGAGGGGGGUAGAAUUCCAGGUGUAGCGGUGAAAUGCGUAGAGAUCUGGAGGAAUACCGGUGGCGAAGGCGGCCCCCUGGACGAAGACUGACGCUCAGGUGCGAAAGCGUGGGGAGCAAACAGGAUUAGAUACCCUGGUAGUCCACGCCGUAAACGAUGUCGACUUGGAGGUUGUGCCCUUGAGGCGUGGCUUCCGGAGCUAACGCGUUAAGUCGACCGCCUGGGGAGUACGGCCGCAAGGUUAAAACUCAAAUGAAUUGACGGGGGCCCGCACAAGCGGUGGAGCAUGUGGUUUAAUUCGAUGCAACGCGAAGAACCUUACCUGGUCUUGACAUCCACGGAAGUUUUCAGAGAUGAGAAUGUGCCUUCGGGAACCGUGAGACAGGUGCUGCAUGGCUGUCGUCAGCUCGUGUUGUGAAAUGUUGGGUUAAGUCCCGCAACGAGCGCAACCCUUAUCCUUUGUUGCCAGCGGUCCGGCCGGGAACUCAAAGGAGACUGCCAGUGAUAAACUGGAGGAAGGUGGGGAUGACGUCAAGUCAUCAUGGCCCUUACGACCAGGGCUACACACGUGCUACAAUGGCGCAUACAAAGAGAAGCGACCUCGCGAGAGCAAGCGGACCUCAUAAAGUGCGUCGUAGUCCGGAUUGGAGUCUGCAACUCGACUCCAUGAAGUCGGAAUCGCUAGUAAUCGUGGAUCAGAAUGCCACGGUGAAUACGUUCCCGGGCCUUGUACACACCGCCCGUCACACCAUGGGAGUGGGUUGCAAAAGAAGUAGGUAGCUUAACCUUCGGGAGGGCGCUUACCACUUUGUGAUUCAUGACUGGGGUGAAGUCGUAACAAGGUAACCGUAGGGGAACCUGCGGUUG
rnacentral:rRNA from 1 species